UUCCAAAUAAACUUGUAACUAUCAUCAGUUGUAGCCACUCCUUUCCUAUGCAACUCUGAUGUAGCAUCAGCAUUCAAAACAAUAGAACCCCCAGCUGCCUUAGUUCGAGCACUUCGUGCCAUUUCCUUGGCUUCGUCCAUAGCAAUAUUGAAACCUUCAAUGUCAACUGUAAGGCCUUCUUCUUCUGCCAUUAGCUGAGUAAGGUCCACUGGAAAUCCGUAAGUGUCCCACAAAACAAAAGCAUCCUUCCCCGACAGUUCAGUUCCCUUGACAUCCUUGACGGCCUUAUUAAACCUUUCAAUUCCCUUUACUAAUGUCCUUCCAAAACUAGCUUCUUCCUCUGCAAGUAUUUCUUUGAUUUUGGCCUCAUGUUGAGCAAGUUCUGGAAAAGUACCCCCCAUCACUUCUACAACAAUACCUACAAGACCACUAAAAAAUCCAUCUUGUG
rnacentral:misc_RNA from 1 species